GCCGGGCCUCCCGCCGCCGCCGCCCGCCCUCCCCGCGGCCUGGCAGGCUGCCGGCUGCACAGGCGGGGGUUCGCGCCGUUCUCACGACCUCUCAGGUUGCCUGAGCUCAUCUGGGAGCUAUUCAUUUCCUGCCAGAAAGCAGCCGGGCCUGCUGGGCGAGCCACCUUGGCCGCAGGGCCGCCGGGGCCGGCCCGGUGUGGCUGCCCUGGGCCGCUCCCGCCCGGCCGCGGUCCCCGAGGCCUCCCAGGAACCCCGAGCCACCCCGGCGGGCGCGCGGCGGGGGCAGCUCGCCCGCCCAUCUGGUUGCACUUAGAAGCCCGGAGGAAGUGAGCGGCGGGUUGUUACCGGCCAAAGGAUUGCUGCCAGAACCUCCGGAGAGCAGAGAGGCUCCAAGGACCUUCAAGGAGAGGCCCUCGAGGUCUCUGGCCUCAAGGACAGAGUUUGGAGCUGUGUCUUAUCACAGGAGAGAUCUACUCAUCCGGAUCUGGUUAGAGGGGCAAGGCAGCUGGGUGUGCCCUGAGGUGGUAUAAUUAGGCCAGGCCCAGAGGAUCUGUAGGGAUGCCAGAAUAAACUGGAAUGCUUCAUCUCCCCAACCCCCAGCUACUGAUUUAAGAAACAGCAGGGAUACAGGAGGCAGCAGUGUCUAAGAAAUAAAUCUAUAGCGUUUAUGAACUUGGACCUAUCCUAGAGAAGGGAAAUGACUUAUCCAAGGUGGUGCCUGCCAUAAGUUCAGUGGUAUAGAACAAUGUAAAAGCUCCCAACGGGGAUAUAGGCUUUCUUCUACUCCAUAUUAUACUUGAACAGGCUUCAUUUAAUAAUGUAAAUCCAAAUUACGGGGGGGGGCACUCCUUUUCAAAAAGAACAAAUGGUUUCUUUUCCUCUCACUUCUUCCUGAAGCUGCUGCGUGACACUUUUGGUGACAUUAAUAAAGAUGCAUGAAGAAAUUAAUUUCCCUUGUAGCCCCCUCCUCCAUAGAUGUAAAAGGAAUUACUUUUAUAAAAUUGAGUUCCUGAUGUCUUGAUUAUUUCUACUACAGAAGCUAGGAAUUCUUGGUGGAAACAGAGGACUUUAAUAUCUAAAUUUGGGAUGUGUCUUAAUGGAGUAAUUGUUACUAUGUUUAUGUAUAAACAAAAAGGAAAACCAGGAAAAAAUGGAAUGACAAAGUAUGCGUUGAAUACCUUUCUUGGGCAGAAAAUAAGGCAAAUAGGAGCCAAUUAAACAAAACAAAACAAAACAAUCUUUUAAACCUCUCUCUCCGGGGGUCGAAGCUGAAGGUCCUGGAAAGAACCGGCUGCUGUCUGCUAGAUCAUUCCUGUGAUAGAGCCGCACUCGGCGCUGGCCUGUGGGAAAGGCUACAGCCAGGCGGGGGAGAGGGCUCGUGGUUUUCAUUUCCCCAACACCUGGAUGCAGUCAAACACCUGGCCAAAUCUGAGAAAAUCUGACAAGCCUUUGUGAUGGGAUUUGGAAGAAAUUCCCUGCAGAUCCUGGCACAGUUUAAAGCUGUCCGCUUUGAGUUAGGACUUGUUAAGGAGGGUUGUGUGAGCUGAAACCCGAGACAACCCUUUUGCUUCUAUCUGGAGCCCACAUCUUGCCUGGAAAUGGGGCAUGACCAUGCGAAGGGGUCGCUUGCUGUUUGUAUUAAAAGGGGAAAAACGGCCCGUGUGCCUGCCAGCGCAACCCCCACAUGCUUUCUCCAUUAAAGUCAAGCGCAGAAACUUAUCAGAAACAUAUGUCUGCUGUUAAUCAUCUGGCCCGGGCUCCACUUGGGAGUCUAACUAGUUGUACCCUGGCAGAGAGAAUCUGUUGACCUUUUCAGCUUGCUUGAAGAGGGUGAAGAGAGGCAUUUCAAACUUUGUGAUACGGGUGCCAGGGGAUGCCUAGCUACGCCUGAGUAAGGACAGACAAAUGAAGGUCCCAAUGCUGGAGGGCUGCAAUGUGGCUUGAGCGCGCUUUUACUUUAGGAGGCCAGUGGCUACUACAGGGAGUGAGUUGGGAGCCGCCCUUUGGAAGGUAAAAAAAUAAGGACUGUUUAUCAGGAAAGCCCCAUCAAAUGAAUUCUCAUAAAUUAGGUCUUCUUAGAUCAUUGAGUGUUGCUGAAAGGUUUGAUGGUUCCUGUUUAAAACUUUAAAAAAUACAUCCUAUUUCUGAAUUGCCAAACUACAUGAAU